GAGCCCCAUUUAACUGGUUGCAAACACAAGUGCAACCUCCUGCCACACCUGGGUGUGGCCAACUAAUUAUUACUAUUCUGGAGUCCAUCGGACGCAGCACAAACCUGGUGCAGCGUAGCACGUUGAGUUUAGGUUGGAAGAAAGGCUGAAAACAGUAUUUGUACGAGCAACACAGACUCAACAUGUGGCCUUUCUUCCGCAAAAUCCCUGAAUUCAGUGACAUGUUGGAAACGAUAUUGAUAAAACUUGGCGUUUGAACUAAGAAGUCACCUGAGCAGGGGGACAUGUAAGCACAGUUUUAGGUCAACAUGAAUUCUAAAAUUGUAGUGUGCCACUUGAUCAGCAUAAACACAACCUCAGCUGUGUCGCUUAACCUACCUCAGCACAAGGGAUUUUGGAGAAAAAACAGUAGUGAUCUGUGUGGAAUUCACCCUGGGCUGGGAUAUUAUGACUGAUAGCUUGUGCUGUGCACACCCUGUCAUGUAAGAUGUUUUUCCCUGUGUAGUCUAACUCAUGCAACUUCUCAGGCCAGCAGCUGGAGCCGCACCAUAGACUGCAACUAACAGUUAGAUAAGAGAAAGUGGGGGAAGGUACAAACCAAGGUCAAAGACUAACAGAGGUGCACUGAGAGAAUAAGCUGUGGGAAAAUACUGAAUGUUGUGUGAUCGGGUGUGGCUUUAACAUAUAAUCAACUGCUAUGUGCCUUAAACUUCAGACACAACUGGGGAGCCGUAGAUUCAAGACGGUGAGCAUGUUGUGUCUCUAGAUAUAUCUGUAUUGUUUGUGGGGAAAUAAAUACUUGUAAGUUCCCGUCCAGUUUUUUCACAAUUGAGAAUGACUUCCGGAUGGGAGCCGAAACGUCUUCAUUCUGAAAACAGUGUCCAGAUGACUAUGACUGAAACCUUUUCUACGAUAGAACACUCCUGGACGAAUGAGGGACUACACGUCUUAUUUUGAAGAAAUACUUGUAAAAGACAUUGGAACUAUAAAACAUCCUCCAUGUUCCCAGAAUAAAGACCAACUCUUCAGGACUUAUAGCUGGAGACAAAAUCUCUCCUGUAGGAGAUGAAGUCAGUAAAAGAGAAGGAGAAUCUGUCACACUCACAUGUGGCUAUGAGACAACAUCAGAGUAUGUUC